ACGGAGGAUCCAAGCGUUAUCCGGAAUUACUGGGCGUAAAGAGUUGCGUAGGUGGCAGAGUAAGUUGGUAGUGAAAGCGUGUGGCUCAACCAUACACACAUUACCAAAACUGCUCAGCUUGAGUAUGGUAGAGGUUACUGGAAUUCCCUGUGUAGGAGUGAAAUCCGUAGAUAUAGGGAGGAACACCAAUGGCGUAGGCAGGUAACUGGACCAUUACUGACACUAAGGCACGAAAGCGUGGGGAGCAAACGGGA
rnacentral:rRNA from 1 species